rnacentral:lncRNA from 1 species
AUGGCUGGGCGUUCGGCCUGGGUUUACAGGAGAGGCCUGAGGAGGGACAGAUGGGGCAUUGUCUGCAGCCGGCCUCCGCUUCACGGGGCGCUGGCUGGCAGGGGGCUGCAGGGAGCUAGGCGUUCGGAGGAAGGGAGCAAGUUUCGCUGCGACCAGGAGUCCUCUCAGAGAAGGCAGCGGCCAGUGGGAACAGCAGCGGGCUCUGCCCGCUGGGGAGGAUGCACGCCGAAACCUUCGGUCCGAGGCCAGCCCCAGGCUGCGCGGGCCCAGCACCGAGUCGGGGGUCGGUCGGCCGGGCCCUGUGCCGUGGCGUGGCCGCCAAGGGGUGGAGCCGGGACUGGAGGCCUGGGUCCAGGUGGGCGAUGCUGCUGGGGGAUGAGACGGCUGUGGGCAAGCGGAAGCAGGUCACCGGGGUCACUGCAGUCCGCUUGGGGCCGGAGCGCCCUGGGGGCGGCCAAAUGGGGAAUUGGGGCCGGCUUCACGGUUCUGAAAUGCCAAAGGCCGGGGUCAGGGUCUGGCUUGGGGUCGGGCCGGGCCUCUGGGGAGAUGGGAGUGAGCGGUGCCCGGUCGGAGCCGACUUCUGCACCCCCAGCACCAGGCAGGUGCCCGGGGCACAGCCACCCCCACCAGGCCCCGCGGGACCCGCCCACCUCUCCGGGGCGCCUUGGGAAUGGGAGUUACCAAGCCACAGCCAAGGGCGCUGGGGCCCAACCCAGGAGUCUUGACUCCAGCCCCACCCACAGCUGCCCAGCCCCGGGAGGGCAGGGGACGGGCGGCCGCCCGUGUGACCUGGGACAGGUGAGCAGCCCAGCCCUGGCGUGGGGGCGGGGCCCUGUCACUUGGGGCCCUGCCCGCGACUGCCCUCCCGCUGGCUCUCCAUCCCGGGCUGGCUGCCUCUGUUUCUCCCCCUGUGUCUGCGCCCCUCCGUCUCCUUCUCUGCAUCUGCCUCUCCUGCGUCUGGCUGGUUCUAUUUUUCCUUUUCUCUGUUUCUCUUCCCCGUUGCCUCCCUCAGUAUCUCGGCCGGUCUGUUUUGCUAUCUCGGUCUCCGUCCCACCGACUCCUCCCCCACUUCCGCCCCCUCUCUGGGGCCCCCUCCCUCACCCCCGGCACACAUUCCAGCCUCCACCCCCGUCUGGCUGCCCCUCCCUGGGGCCAGCUGCCGCUGCGUUGGGUGCCCAGGACGGAGGGAGUGGGCUCAGGCUGGGUCAGAGGUCAGCGUGCAGGCUGGGGCCGUAG